GGGUGCUUGCGGAACGCAGACCAGCUUCUAUAGCCAAAGGGAACAGUAUCUACCAGGGGAUACUGUUAAGAAACCAAUCUACCAAGGGAGGAAGAACACAUUCCAAAGACGGUCUUCCAGGAAGCCUGACUGAUCAGAAUGGCCCAGAGAGAACAGUGAGAUCCAAGCAUCCUCCCUUGGACCUUCCUUGUUACUUAGCUUCUUUGGAUCUGUGGAUUGUACGAUGGUUAUCCUGUACCUUAUGGCUAAUGUCCACUUAUAAGGCAGCAGCGGGUGAUGCUUGGUCAAGGAGUGAGGAAGACGAGCAGUCAAACUUCUAUACAUACGGCAGGGAAAAGUCAUAGAAGCAGGCGGACUGGAGGAAGCCAGAGGUGGGGAGUUUCCAGAACGGCUCUCGGAAGGAGCAGUGGCCUUUGUAUAGUGAACCUCCAGCUCCAACUUCUUCCUGGAUUCACAGCCAGAGAAGUCAUGCCGUGUGGAAGCCUGCUGGUUUCUAGAACUCCAUAGAACAUCUACCUCUGUCUGGGUGAUUUCUGGUAAUCAGCAAAGCCUGGAAAUUUUGAAUCAUCUCCAUCAGAAACAGACAAGCUAUCUUCUUUUCAGUACGGGGGACCAAACUAAGAACCCUGUACAAGCUAGACAAAUAAUCUCUCGAUGCAGCACACCCUCAGAUCCCUGCCCCACAACUGUCUUUUCUCCCUGCUAGUAAAACUUUCCAAUCAAAAUCAUUUUCCCACAAUUAAAAAAUUAUAACUUAAUACAUAUACAUGGAAAAAUAAGAAAUCAAGAUUAACUUGUAAUUAUUAAAACAGAAUAAGGCACCAGCCAGCCUUAUUUCUGUCUGAGCUGGUUCCCUUUUUCUAGAAACCAUUUCUGUAAAUUAUAAAGUUUUAAAUUCCAUAAUGGUUACCUUCUCAUUGAUUUAAAAAAUGCUGUACAAACUUUUGUAGUUUACUAUAUUUAUUCUCUACACACUGGCCUACUAUUAAAGUGACUCUCACUCACUCUUUCCUCUGAGGCCCCCUACUUCCCAGGAUCUAUCAUUAGCUUCAAUGGGGGGCUUUUAUAAUUUAAAACCUACCAUGGCGUUUCUAUUAAUCUUCCUAUGUAAUAUCUUCUGAAACAAGAUUUUGAUAACUUAUCAAUGAAAAUUCAAUAUUGAGUUGGGAGAGCAGGGUGAGAUGCAUGUGCUGCCACAAACCUAUAAUCCCAUGGCUCGUGAGGCCGAGGCUGCAGAAUGAGGGCUAGAAGCCAUACUAGGUUACAUAACACGUUCCAGGGUGGCCUCGGUUACAGAGUGAGACUCUCUCAAAAAACAAGUCAAACAAAAUAUACACACAAAGAAGAAAAACAAACAAACAAACAAACAAACAACACACACACACCAAGUUGUAACCUGUAAUUUAGAUAUGAAGGUCACAAUGAAAUGGCUAGAAAGAGAUUUUUGGUUUUUUGUGGUUUUUUUUCCAGUAAUAAUACAAUCUCAGGGGUCACAGUAUGAGCGAGCAAAUGUCCUGUAACAAAAUUAUCUUCAUGUGUAGGCAUCCACUAAAGGAAGUUUUGAACUUUCUCUGAUUGGUCUGACAGGCAUGCAAAUAGCGAUUCUGUAGUCUCUGAAAUAUUUUGCAUUAUAGCUGAAUAUGAAAGAAAAAAUGAUUAAUUUACUCCUUAAAAUUUUUUAUUGUAUUUAUUUAUUGGUGGGGGCAUGCCAAGGUGCACACUCCAAGGUCAAAGGACAGCUUAUAAGAAUUGGUUCUCUCCUUUGACCCUGUGGGUCCUGGAGAUUAAACUCAGGUCAUUUGGAUUGCAUGCCAAGUGUCUUUAUCCACUAAGCCAUCUCACCAGUCCAAGAGUAAUUAGUGAUCAAAUAUUAUGAACUUAUACUAAGUUACCAUUAUAUUAUGAAGUUUAUAGAUUUCCUAUUAUUGUUGUUAUUAUAUACAUAUGUGUGUAUAUAAUGUGUGUAAUAAAAUGUCAAAUGU